rnacentral:rRNA from 1 species
GAUCAUACUCAGGACGAACGCUGGCGGCGUGCUUAACACAUGCAAGUCGAACGAGAAUCUGUGGAAAGAGGAUUCGUCCAAUUGAAGCAGAGGACAGUGGCGGACGGGUGAGUAACGCGUGAGGAACCUGCCUUUCAGAGGGGGACAACAGUUGGAAACGACUGCUAAUACCGCAUAACACAUUGAGGUCGCAUGGCCUUAAUGUCAAAGAUUUAUCGCUGAAAGAUGG